rnacentral:lncRNA from 1 species
GAAGAAGGAGAACCAAAAUGGAGGCUGACAUGUUUUUAUCCAAAGAGACUCUGGUGCUGUGUGACCCCUGACUGUAACCAAGUGUCAUUCUCUCCGCGACGUUCCCUCAGAGCUUGUGCUGACAGACAGCCCUCACCUCCACGUCCACUAACUUUUCCACACGAGGGGUUCUCUGCUCCAUCUGAGCUGCACAAUUCCACCAGGCCUUUUGCUCCUAUUCAGUCAGGUGCUUUGGAGGUGAGCAGAACCACACCCAACUAGAACAUCUCUAAGUAUCUACUAAGUUUCAGGACCCGGGGAACCCCACAGAUAACCCCCUCUCGACAUUUUUUGCUCAAAGACCCCAUAACUUGAGAAUCAUUGUAGUAACUUCAGACUGGUUAAAACAUCUUUCUAAUUGCUUGUGGCUGAGCUCUAUGAAGAGAUCAGUCCUCUGCUCUAACAUUUAGAUGCUACUG